CCCUUAGAUGUUCUGGGCAGCACGCGCGCUACAAUGGUCUUCGCAAACGGAUGCAUUCUCGAAGGAGAAUGCCAAUCUUGGAAUCUAUGCCUUGGUCGGGACAGUUGCUUGCAAUUUUUCGACUCGAACCAGGAAUUCCUUGUAAUCGUGAUUCAUCACAUCACGAUGAAUACAUCCCUGCCCUUUGUACACACCGCCCGUCGCUCCUACCGAUCGAAGAGUUAGGUGAAUUGUUUUGAUCGAUAAGAUUUGACUAUGGUCAACUCUCGUUGUGAAAUUCUGUGAAUCUGACUGUUUAGAGGAAGGAAAAGUCGUAACA
rnacentral:rRNA from 1 species